GUUUCCUCAUCUUCUGUGGAGUGGAAGGGUUUUGAAGACCAUGUUGGACAUCCUGCAGACUCUGUCUCUGUCUCUGAGCGCCGACAUCCACAAAGACCAGCCAUACUACGACAUUCCCGACACUCCGUACAGAAUAACUGUCCCAGACACGCAUGAGGCGCGAGAGAGCAUCGUGAAGGACUUUGCCGCCCGCUGUGGAGAGAUCUUGAAGGAGGCCAUGAAAUGGGCUGCUUCGGUUACCAAAUCUCA